CCCCCCGGUGAAAAAAAGAAAGAGUGGCGAACGGGUGAGUAACACGUGGGUAACCUGCCCAUCAGAAGGGGAUAACACUUGGAAACAGGUGCUAAUACCGUAUAACAAUCGAAACCGCAUGGUUUUGAUUUGAAAGGCGCUUUCGGGUGUCGCUGAUGGAUGGACCCGCGGUGCAUUAGCUAGUUGGUGAGGUAACGGCUCACCAAGGCCACGAUGCAUAGCCGACCUGAGAGGGUGAUCGGCCACAUUGGGACUGAGACACGGCCCAAACUCCUACGGGAGGCAGCAUUAUGGAAUCUUCGGCAAUGGACGAAA
rnacentral:rRNA from 1 species